rnacentral:rRNA from 1 species
UACGGGGGGGGCAAGCGUUGUUCGGAAUUACUGGGCGUAAAGGGCUCGUAGGCGGCCAACUAAGUCGGACGUGAAAUCCCCAGGCUCAACCUGGGAACUGCGUCUGAUACUGGAUGGCUUGAAUCCGGGAGAGGGAUGCAGAAUUCCAGGUGUCGCGGUGAAAUGCGUAGAUAUCAGGAAGAACACCCGUGGCGAAGGCGGCUCUCUGGGACGGUACUGACGCUGAGGAGCGAAAGCGUGGGGAGCGAACAGG